rnacentral:tRNA from 2 species
GGAGAGGUGCGAGAGUGGCUGAAUCGGGCGGUCUCGAAAACCGUUAUACGAGUAAUCGUAUCGAGGGUUCGAAUCCCUCCCUCUCCG